rnacentral:rRNA from 1 species
CUAACACAUGCAAGUCGAGCGGUAACAGGAAUUAGCUUGCUAAUUUGCUGACGAGCGGCGGACGGGUGAGUAAUGCCUGGGAAUAUGCCUUAGUGUGGGGGAUAACUAUUGGAAACGAUAGCUAAUACCGCAUAACGUCUUCGGACCAAAGAGGGGGACCUUCGGGCCUCUCGCGCUAAGAUUAGCCCAGGUGGGAUUAGCUAGUUGGUGAGGUAAAGGCUCACCAAGGCAACGAUCCCUAGCUGGUCUGAGAGGAUGAUCAGCCACACUGGAACUGAGACACGGUCCAGACUCCUACGGGAGGCAGCAGUGGGGAAUAUUGCACAAUGGGGGAAACCCUGAUGCAGCCAUGCCGCGUGUAUGAAGAAGGCCUUCGGGUUGUAAAGUACUUUCAGUCGUGAGGAAGACAUUGUAGUUAAUAGCUGCAGUGUUUGACGUUAGCGACAGAAGAAGCACCGGCUAACUCCGUGCCAGCAGCCGCGGUAAUACGGAGGGUGCGAGCGUUAAUCGGAAUUACUGGGCGUAAAGCGCAUGCAGGCGGUCUGUUAAGCAAGAUGUGAAAGCC